GCGCAUUCGCCCUUAGAGUUUGAUCCUGGCUCAGGAUGAACGCUAGCUACAGGCUUAACACAUGCAAGUCGAGGGGCAGCGGGAUUGAAGCUUGCUUCAAUUGCCGGCGACCGGCGCACGGGUGAGUAACGCGUAUCCAACCUUCCGUACACUCAGGGAUAGCCUUUCGAAAGAAAGAUUAAUACCUGAUAGUAUCUUAAGCACACAUGUAAUUAAGAUUAAAGAUUUAUCGGUGUACGAUGGGGAUGCGUUCCAUUAGGUAGUAGGCGGGGUAACGGCCCACCUAGCCAACGAUGGAUAGGGGUUCUGAGAGGAAGGUCCCCCACAUUGGAACUGAGACACGGUCCAAACUCCUACGGGAGGCAGCAGUGAGGAAUAUUGGUCAAUGGACGAGAGUCUGAACCAGCCAAGUAGCGUGAAGGAUGAAGGUCCUACGGAUUGUAAACUUCUUUUAUAAGGGAAUAAACCCUCCCACGUGUGGGAGCUUGUAUGUACCUUAUGAAUAAGCAUCGGCUAACUCCGUGCCAGCAGCCGCGGUAAUACGGAGGAUGCGAGCGUUAUCCGGAUUUAUUGGGUUUAAAGGGAGCGCAGACGGGUCGUUAAGUCAGCUGUGAAAGUUUGGGGCUCAACCUUAAAAUUGCAGUUGAUACUGGCGUCCUUGAGUGCGGUUGAGGUGUGCGGAAUUCGUGGUGUAGCGGUGAAAUGCUUAGAUAUCACGAAGAACUCCGAUUGCGAAGGCAGCACACUAAUCCGUAACUGACGUUCAUGCUCGAAAGUGUGGGUAUCAAACAGGAUUAGAUACCCUGGUAGUCCACACGGUAAGCGAUGGAUACUCGCUGUUGGCGAUAUACUGUCAGCGGCUUAGCGAAAGCGUUAAGUAUCCCACCUGGGGAGUACGCCGGCAACGGUGAAACUCAAAUGAAUUGACGG
rnacentral:rRNA from 1 species